UACGUAGGGUGCGAGCGUUAAUCGGAAUUACUGGGCGUAAAGCGUGCGCAGGCGGUUUUGUAAGCCAGAUGUGAAAGCCCCGGGCUUAACCUGGGAAUGGCAUUUAGGACUGCAAGGCUAGAGUGCGGCAGAGGAGACUGGAAUUCCUGGUGUAGCAGUGAAAUGCGUAGAUAUCAGGAGGAACACCGGUGGCGAAGGCGGGUCUCUGGGCCGAUACUGACGCUGAGGAGCGAAAGCGUGGGGAGCGAACAGG
rnacentral:rRNA from 1 species